ensembl:lncRNA
AAAUAAUCACCAAUUUGUCACUUUUUCAAAAGUCGUGAAAACACUAUCGUGGGGUUUUUCUGUUUCUAUUUGAGCAAAUGGGAAUGCAAAAAAUAAAUGUUUGUGGUACUCAUGCACUGCUCAAGUUAACCCAACUAUGGCGACUUCCGAUGCACGGAAAUGUGAAAACGAGCCAAAGCCUGCGUCCCAAUGCGCACACUUCUUUCUUUCGGUUUCGCUUUUCUGCGUUGGUCGUUGAAUAAUUUCUUCUACGCGGAGUCUAAAAGAUCAGGGCACAGUAAACUACUACUUUCAGCAAAAUAUCAGACUUGUCUGAAAUCAUGGAUAUGAAGAAGGACUCUUCUGCUAAAAAGCAUCGCUAUGAGAGCAGAGAGGAGGGAGGUGCACCAUGUUCCAGCUGUGUGUCUAUAAAGACUACAAAUUCAAUGGAUCUACCAAAUACCUUCAGAACUGGAGCUGUGAAUCCUGGAGCCAUAAAAGCAUCUGAAAUCAUGGAUAUGGAGCAUAACUCUCCUGCUGAAGAGCAUCGCUAUGAGAGCAGAGAGAAGACAACAAAUUCAAUGGAUCCACCCACUAAUUUCAGAACUGGAGCUGUGAAUCGUGAAGCCACGUGAGAUUCUUUUUCUAGUAGUUUCUCUGUACCUCUAGGGGAAAAAGAGGAGGUUAUUUAUUUAUUUAUUUUUUGUUCCAAAACACAUCUGAUUGGAUAUCUGUUACAAACAUGCAAUAUUAGGUAUAUAAAUAUUUAUUAUAAAUAUCUUUUAUUAUAAAAGAUUUUAUCUAAGGCCAUGUACAUGCAUGGAUAGAUUCCAAGUUUUACUCAAGCACCUUUCAGUUUGACCUUUUACUAGAUACGUGCCCUUUUUACAAAUGUAACCUCCAGAUAGCAGAGCCUUCACAAUGAGUGACAGUGAUAGCCGACACAUUUAACACACACAAAUCAAGCAGCAUCCUCAUCUUCCUGAUCAGUCUUCAUUGUUGACAACCAGAUAGCAAUGUGUUUAUCACUGCUAUGAAAUUAAAUCAUUAAAACAACUGCCAGCCUAUCUUCAGCAUUAAUCCUCCAACAAGCAUAACAACAAGCAAGCUGGUGUAAAACAGCUUCACGUAAGGUUGCAAAUGCCACCAAAAUGAAUAAAAAAUGGUCACAAAAUUCA